UGUGUAUCAGUACAUGGCAUAUCAAUAAGCGGAGGAAAAGAAACUAACAAGGUUUCCCCUAGUAACGGCGAGUGAAGCGGGAAGAGCUCAAAUUUGAAAUCUUAAAGGGUUUCCCUUUACGAAUUGUAGUUUAAAGAAGUGUUUUCUGUUGGAGUUUCGGUAAAAGUUCUUUGGAAUAGGACAUCAUAGAGGGUGAGAAUCCCGUAUUUGACCGUUACUUUCCAGCUGUGUGAUACACUUUCAAAGAGUCGGAUUGUUUGGGAAUGCAGUCCAAGAUGGGUGGUAAAUUUCAUCUAAAGCUAAAUAUUGGCGAGAGACCGAUAGCGAACAAGUACCGUGAGGGAAAGAUGAAAAGAACUUUGAAAAGAGAGUUAAACAGUACGUGAAAUUGUCAAAAGGGAAGCGUUUGACACCAGUGUUGUUUUCUCGAAAAUCAAUUAAAAAGGCUGGAUUUUGUGUUGUAUUGACCUUUAAUCAGCUUUCUUCACUCUUUUCUUGUCCUUUUUAAUGCACUUUUCGUUUAACAAGUCAACAUCAGUUUCUUUUGUUGUAGAAGGGUCAUUGGAAGGUGGCUUUCUUUUCGGAGAAAGUGUUUAUAGCCUUUGCUCUCUGCAAUCGGAGAGAUUGAGGUCUGCAGCGUAGAUCCUUCGGGGUUAGAUACACUUGUGCUAAGUUGUAGCUUUUCAUAGACAACUUGUUGACUAUGUUUAGUCAUGCGGCUUACUCGCUUGUGCUAUUUUACCUACGCUUAGGAUGUUGACUGAUAUGUAGUCGUA
rnacentral:rRNA from 1 species